CUGUUGUUUUGUGAUGUUCAUAGUUGAUCUGUUUGUCUGAAUGUGAAGUUUUAUCACCGAUGUUGAGAGUCAUGCGAUGGUUCUUGAUGUCUGUGUAUUCACUGUACUUUGUGACAUCAGGGGCCUUUGAUUUUACAGAGACUGACAUGCCUUGCAUCAGGAGGUGGUGGUGUGUUCUUCUCCUGGAAAAUUUCCCCUUGAGAUCUGAGGAAGAAAGACGUGCAAGAAAGAGACGGAAGAAGAAUGUUGAAGAGAAUGUUGAAGAGAAUGUACGUGUAUGAGAUUUUAUAAGACAUUUUUGUACUCUAUUGCUGUAUUUAUGGACUCUACCUUGAUGUUGGAUAAAAUUCCGUUAAGA